UUGCGGUUAAAAAGCUCGUAGUUGGAUUUCUGUCGAUGACUGGUGGUCCUCUCUAUGAGAGUGUAUCUACUUAGGCGUUGGCGUCCUCAUGAGAGACGUUUCUGUGCUUGAUUGCAUGGUGCGGAUUUCAUGACUUUUACUUUGAGGAAAUUAGAGUGUUCACGGCAGGCACGCGCCUUGAAUACAUUAGCAUGGAAUAAUAGUAUAGGAUCGAGAUUCUAUUUUGUUGGUUUCUAGAAUCACGAUAAUGAUUAAUAGGGAUAAUUGGGGGCAUUUGUAUUAACGCGUCAGAGGUGGAAUUCUUGGAUUGCGUUACGACAAACUACUGCGAAAGCAUUUGCCAAGGAUGUUUUCAUUGAUCAAGAACGAAAGUAUGGGGAUCGAAGAUGAUUAGAUACCGUCGUAGUCUAUACCAUAAACUAUGCCAACUAGAGAUGGGUCGUCGUUCACUUUAUGACUCGAUCCGCACCUUAUGAGAAAUCAAAGUCUUUGGGUUCCGGGGGGAGUAUGGUCGCAAGGCUGAAACUUAAAGGAAUUGACGGAAGGGCACCACCAGGAGUGGAACCUGCGGCUUAAUUUGACUCAACACGGGAAAACUCACCAGGUUUCAGACAUAGGUAAGGAUUGACAGAUUGA
rnacentral:rRNA from 1 species